AACGAACGCUGGCGGCAUGCCUAACACAUGCAAGUCGAACGAGACCUUCGGGUCUAGUGGCGCACGGGUGCGUAACGCGUGGGGAUCUGCCCUUUGCUUCGGAAUAACAGUUAGAAAUGACUGCUAAUACCGGAUGAUGACUUCGGUCCAAAGAUUUAUCGGCAAAGGAUGAACCCGCGUAGGAUUAGCUAGUUGGUGGGGUAAAGGCCUACCAAGGCGACGAUCCUUAGCUGGUCUGAGAGGAUGAUCAGCCACACUGGGACUGAGACACGGCCCAGACUCCUACGGGAGGCAGCAGUGGGAAUAUUGGACAAUGGGCGAAAGCCUGAUCCAGCAAUGCCGCGUGAGUGAUGAAGGCCUUAGGGUUGUAAAGCUCUUUUACCCGGGAUGAUAAUGACAGUACCGGGAGAAUAAGCUCCGGCUAACUCCGUGCCAGCAGCCGCGGU
rnacentral:rRNA from 1 species